GUGCCUGGAAAGCUGAGUAGAAAAAGAGAGCAGAAAAUACAAGAAGAGAGAUGGAGGCAAACCAGGCCAAUUUGGCUCCAAGAGCUAGAGAGUCAUUGGAAUAGAAAAGGUGGUCAAUCCUGAGCACUGGAAGGAUGUGGAACCCCUGGAACUUUCAUCCUUUGCAGAUGGGAAUGUAAAUUGCUACAACCUCACUGGAACCUGGCCAUUUCUACCAAAGGUGUAGCCAGUAUGUGCAUAUCCAGCAAGAGUCUGAAAAGGACGGCAUAAGAAAGUCCUGUUAGGGUUGAAAUACCCUCUGUUUGUGAAUGCAAGCUGGCAGGGGAAGUGGAU
rnacentral:lncRNA from 1 species